GUUUUUUGACAAUGCCACGCAGACGAAGACACGCCGCUCGCCCCGUCCGCAGAUGCAGGAGGACCCGCAGGUCCACCCAUGUCCACAGACGCAGGAGAGUUGUCAGACGCAGACGCUAGGCAACGCCAAUAAACAUGUAGCACAGGCAUGACAUAACAAUACCCUCAGUUCCUUCAUUUAAGUAUAGUUGAAAAAGUUAUACUUUUGCAUUCUAUUUUUAAAUCCUAUUAGCUCCUCUGAUUAAGCCAACCAUUUCUCACAGAGAUCAACAGCAGAAUU